AUAAUACUUUGAUUCAUUUCUAUGCAGAAUGCGGGGACUUGGAUUAUGCCCGGAAGGUGUUUGAUGAAAUGCUUGAGAGAAACGUUGUGUCGUGGACUAGUUUGAUUUGUGGUUAUGGUUGGAGGAACAUGCCAAAGGAGGCUGUUUUCUUUGUUUUUGGAGAUGGUGGUUGCCGGGAUUAAACCCAAUCCCUAGUAUGCCUCCAUUAUCUCUGAGCCGUACUUCAGGGGCAAUGAGACUACAGGAAAUUAAAUUCAUCCUUAAUCUAUGAGACUAAAUUCAGAAGGGAACAUACUGGCUCUCCAUGUCUCUCUCUCUCUCUCUCUCUUUUCCUUUCUUUCUGGAAUAUGCAUCUGCUGCGACUUUUAUCUCGGUGCAAUUUUCUUCAAACUAAAGGAGUAAUCUUUGUUCCUUCUGCUUGUCAUUUACAGGUGAGUUCCAAAGCUUUCUUUGAGGUUGUUCCUAAAACAACAGAAGAUGUCCGAGCCCUGUGCACGGGCAAGCAAAUCAUCCUUCUUCGCUUUUCUAUCUUUUCCUUGGAGUUGAGGCAUUGAUGCUAGCACAUGAUAUGAGAAAAUGCAGAAGCAUAUGAUCAUGAAGAUUCUUUCAAGCCAACUAAUGGCUAUCAGCAACUAAAACUUAAUUACCUGUCUACUGUCUACAAACUCCUCUGAUAAAAGCAUUUCCAUAAUAUAAUAGUUACCAUAAUAAUCCUAUAAUGGCUAUUAGUAGCAUGGUGCUUUGGAUCUGGUAGGAGCCUGAGAUUGGCUACGUGAAAUAAUGGCUACGUCAAAAUUGUUUGUAGCAGCCCUCAAUUGAUUCCUUUGUUGUAGGAGAAUAAUGGUGGUAAUCAGCUAGCUAGGACAUGCAGAUUAGUUCAUACAACUUGGUUGAUAUGAUCCAUUAUUAAAGUUUGUAUUAUGGUUCUUUUUCUCUGCUUUCAUUUUGUUACUAUGCUGCUAGGUGAUUGAUAUCAUUCAAUUUGUUUGUCUUUUCCAUUUGCAGUGGGGACUAUAGAUUUUCCAUUCAGAAAGGUUACACAAUCUGGCCAAGUUGGCUACAUGCUGAUUGCUGAUCUAACUGAAUUAGAGACGACCGCCAAUGAGGUAGAAGCAAAGAAGUUCUAGCCUGGCUUUGGCUAAGUAUCUUGCUUCAAGGUGAUGCGGCAGAUGUGCGCUGACCUUCGUGAGGAAGAAGAAUUGUUUUUCAUUGUGUCUAAGGAUGGAAUUGAUACUUGAUACUAAGAUUAAUCACAGUCAUGCCAGGGUAGUGCAGUGGGGUGCUCCACCAAGAAGCUAUCUUAGAUUGAAUAUUGAUGGUGCCUAUGCUAGAGAGAAUGGCAUGGAGGAGUGGGGGUGAUUUUCUGACUCUUCAGGAGGCUUGAAGGGCGCCUUCUCUAGGCAUCUUCCUGCAAUCCAAAGCGAGGCAGAAGCUUGUAGAGCAGGCUUGCUUGUGGCUAUUCACCAGAGUUGGAGACAUGUUGAGGUAGAAAGUGAUUGUGCUCAGUUGCUUGCUGUGCUGAAUCUUCAAGGGGAGGAUAACUCUAAGGAAAAUUGUAGAAUUGCAAUCGAGGCAUGAGAAAUUUACUAUGACAAAUGCACCAAAGGUUCUUGGGAAAUUGUGGACACAGGAAAGCCUUCAAGACAUCCAGUUCUAGUUGCGGCAUCUGUGGGAAGCUGUGGAGCCUAUUGGGCUGAUGGUUCCGA